rnacentral:rRNA from 1 species
UAAGGAAUAUUGGUCAAUGGACGCAAGUCUGAACCAGCCAUGCCGCGUGGAGGAUGAAGGUCCUCUGGAUUGUAAACUUCUUUUAUCUGGGACGAAAAAGGUUCUUUCUAGAACAACUGACGGUACCAGAUGAAUAAGCACCGGCUAACUCCGUGCCAGCAGCCGCGGUAAUACGGAGGGUGCAAGCGUUAUCCGGAUUCACUGGGUUUAAAGGGUGCGUAGGCGGGUAUGUAAGUCAGUGGUGAAAUCCCCGAGCUUAACUCGGGAACUGCCAUUGAUACUAUAUAUCUUGAAUGUUCUGGAGGUAUGCGGAAUAUGUCAUGUAGCGGUGAAAUGCUUAGAGAUGACAUAGAACACCUAUUGCGAAGGCAGCAUACUACGGAAAUAUUGACGCUGAGGCACGAAAGUGUGGGGAUCAAACAGG